rnacentral:rRNA from 1 species
AUUGAACGCUGGCGGCUUGCUUCACACAUGCAAGUCGAACGGUAACAGGGUGCUUGCACCGCUGACGAGUGGCGAACGGGUGAGUAAUGCGUCGGAACGUGCCGAGUAGUGGGGGAUGACGCAGCGAAAGUUGUGCUAAUACCGCAUACGUACUGAGGUAGAAAGUGGGGGACCUUCGGGCCUCACGCUAUUCGAGCGGCCGACGUCUGAUUAGCUAGUAGGUGAGGUAAAGGCUCACCUAGGCGACGAUCAGUAGCGGGUCUGAGAGGAUGAUCCGCCACACUGGGACUGAGACACGGCCCAGACUCCCACGGGAGGCAGCAGUUGGGAAUUUUGGACAAUGGGCGAAAGCCUGAUCCAGCCAUGCCGCGUGUCUGAAGAAGGCCUUCGGGUUGUAAAGGACUUUUGUCAGGGAGGAAAUCCCUAGUGCUAAUAACACUGGGGGAUGACAGUACCUGAAGAAUAAGCACCGGCUAACUACGUGCCAGCCGCCGCGGUAA